rnacentral:misc_RNA from 1 species
GAUGAAGAACGUAGCGAAAUGCGAUACGUAAUGUGAAUUGCAGAAUUCAGUGAAUCAUCGAAUCUUUGAACGCAUAUUGCGCUCUCUGGUAUUCCGGAGAGCAUGCUUGUUUGAGUAUCAGUAAACACCUCAACUCCCUUUUCUUUUUUGAAAUUGGAGCUGGACUUGAGUGAUCCCAACGCUUUCUUCCAAGAAAGUGGCGGGUUUCUUGAAAUGCAGGUGCAGCUGAACUUUUCUCUGAGCUAUAAGCAUAUCUAUUUAGUCUGCCUAAAAAACAGAUUAUUACCUUUGCUGCAGCUAACAUAAAGGAGACUAGUUCUUGUGCUGACUGAUGCAGGAUUCACAGAGACAGCUUCGGCUGACUUUGUAAACUCGAUCUCAAAUCAAGUAAGACUACCCGCUGAACUUAAGCAUAUCAAUAAGCGGAGGA